rnacentral:rRNA from 1 species
GACGUAGGGGGGCGAGCGUUGUCCGGAAUCACUGGGCGUAAAGAGCUCGUAGGCGGGGAUGCACGUCCUGGAGUAAAUCCAACUGCUCAACGGUUGGCUCAUCUGGGAUACGGUAUCUCUUGAGGACAGAAGAGGAGAACAGAAUUCCGAGUGUAGCGGUGAAAUGCGUAGAUAUCAGGAGGAACACCGGUGGUGUAGACGGCUUUUCUGGACCGUAACUGACGCUGAGACACGAAAGCGUGGGUAGCAAACAGG